UACGUAGGGUGCGAGCGUUGUCCGGAUUUAUUGGGCGUAAAGAGCUCGUAGGCGGUUUGUCGCGUCGGCCGUGAAAUCUCCACGCUUAACGUGGAGCGUGCGGUCGAUACGGGCAGACUUGAGUUCGGUAGGGGAGACUGGAAUUCCUGGUGUAGCGGUGAAAUGCGCAGAUAUCAGGAGGAACACCUGAGGCGAAGGCGGGUUGCUAGGCUGACACUGACGCUGAAGCGCGAAAGCCAGGGGAGCAAACGGG
rnacentral:rRNA from 1 species